GGAGGAAGGUGGGGAUGACGUCAAAUCAUCAUGCCCCUUAUGACCUGGGCUACACACGUGCUACAAUGGAUAGUACAAAGGGUCGCGAAGCCGCGAGGUGGAGCUAAUCCCAUAAAACUAUUCUCAGUUCGGAUUGUAGGCUGCAACUCGCCUACAUGAAGCCGGAAUCGCUAGUAAUCGUGGAUCAGCAUGCCACGGUGAAUACGUUCCCGGGCCUUGUACACACCGCCCGUCACACCACGAGAGUUUGUAACACCCGAAGUCGGUAGGGUAACCUUUAUGGAGCCAGCCGCCGAAGGUGGGACAGAUAAUUGGGGUGAAGUCGUAACAAGGUAGCCGUAUCGGAAGGUGCGGCUGGAUCACCUCCUUU
rnacentral:rRNA from 1 species